GGCAUAAAAUAUAUUAUCACCGCCACUUCCCGAUCCACAUUGAUGACGUCACAAAGCACGUUCAGAACGGGACUUAGGAACUCUUCUGUUCGACAUCUGACAAGCCCCGUGGUUCAUCAAAUAAACAAAAGCACCAAGGCUUUUCUCCAGCCCAUGCAGGCUAGAGGAUGGCGUCUCUGUGGUAUAUGAUGGUACGUCGCAUGGUGUCGCCCCUGUCCAGACAUUUCAAGGCGAUAGCUGGCGUGAUUCGGGGCAGGCUCUGCUGUUGUAAGAAGAAGAAGAAGAAAAGGGUGUCGAAGAAGGGAAAGACGUCCAAGGGCGCGAAAAAGGCAGAGGGGGUACGGGAGAAGCGACGCAAGACAGCCAAGAAACGCACGAAGAGCGACUGAACCAAAGCUGACCCUCUCGAAGCUACAAUCCACACAUUUCCAUAUAAUUUCAUGUUGAUCAUGCCAGCAAGAUUAAGAGCAAUGUAAUACUCGGUACAUCCAUUCCGUAUGUUAAGUUGGAUACCGGUAAUCUAUUUUAUAUCGUGCUUUAAUUUCUCGAGAUCUCUCAAUUCUUCAACCUACAUGUACAAUGGUCAUAUAUGAACUCACUAACGCACCAAAAUCACAACCUUGCCGGUAAAAAUGUAACAUGAGGAAUAAAAAAAUGACUCAACAAUAACACAGCAGUUUCAUGGUGUGAGACAAAGUGAUGUUUACUAACGACAACACCAAAUACACAUCUAAAAUGUACAGUUUCCUUCCAACAACCGAUGGAUUCACUGUUGAUCACUCAAGUCUACACUGGUACCAGUCAAGCAGCCUUACAGUAUGUUUCUAGUACUACCCCUAAUGUGGCUCUCUAUGCGCAGUGUACAACCAAGGAUAUUAUAUAAUGUCCUUAGUACAACAUUUGCGAACAUUAGCAACAAGCUGAAUAAAAUCUAAAAGUGGGCAGGAAUCGAA